rnacentral:rRNA from 1 species
CCUACGGGCGGCAGCAGUGGAGAAUCAUUCACAAUGGGCGAAAGCCUGAUGGUGCGACGCCGCGUGUAUGAAUAAAGCUCUUCGGAUGGUAAACACCUGUCAUGUGGGGGCAGGUGAAAAGGAUAGUAACACAGGAGAAAGAGACGGCUAACUCGGUGCCAGCAGCCGCAGUAAUACAGAGGUCGCAAGCGUUGUUCGGAAUCACUGGGCGUAAAGCGUGCGUAGGCGGUUUCGUAAGUCGUGUGUGAAAGGCGCGGGCUCAACCCGCGGACGGCACAUGAUACUGGGAGACUAGAGUAAUGGAGGGGGAAGUGGAAUUCCAGGUGUAGCAGUGAAAUGCGUAGAGAUGGAGAGGAAUACCAGUGGCGAAGGCGGGUCCCUGGACAUUAACUGACGCUGAGGUACGAAGGCGAGGGGAGCGAAAGGGAUUAGAUACCCUGGUAGUC